UUCUUUGUUUUGUCGGGCACCAAAAACUGUUCAGCGAGAGUUUAGCCGGCCCUAUUUCACAAACGGACAGUGUGCGCGGAGAAAGUACUCCGGGUUCACAAUUGAGAUCGGGGGCUGAAAGGUGGAGUGGUCUCGAAGAUGGAUGAAGAGAAUACGAGAGAUUUUAGACAGCCAUGUCAACAAUGUUCCGUGAUUAACUGGGGAAUCACUGAUGAAGGCAAGUUCUUUUGCAAGUCCUGCCAUAGUGUUAUUGAGAAAACAGCAGAUAUUGCCUCUGAGUUAUUUAUGCAAAAUGCAAGAGUGAAUACUAUUUCCAGGGGACUAAAGAAAAGGAAAAAACUAGAUCAAGGCUGUGAAUGGUAUGUUUGUGAAGGCUUUCAGUAUAUUUUGACUCAGCAAGCUAAGGCCUUGAUAGCUUUGGGGGCUUCUCCAUCGAUCAAAGAUGAAAUCCUGUGCAAUGUUUGGAGGCGCUACUUGCAAAAAAGCCAACAAGCUUAUACAAACAAACCCAUUGCUACUUUCACCAGAAAACAGAGGAAUUCAGAAGUAAAUUCUAGCUCAUCUGGAUUUGACACUGAGACAGAUAUAUUAUCCUUGCAUGGAUGCCCUUCAUUGCUUGAAAGUAAUUCUGAAUGUACCUCUCUAAACAACAGUACUGAUGUAUCCAGAAAUGCAUUUUUAUCAGAGGAUGAUACAUCAUCUGUACGAUCAGGAUCUGUUGAUGGUAGCCUAUAUCUACGUGCUGCACGUCGUAAAAGGUUAUUGAUGUCUAUGCCAAUGACACUAGCAUUUUGUUACUUGGGACUGCUUUGGCUCAGAGAAGCAAUUACUCUUGCAGAUCUCCUACGGUUUGUCUCAGAGCUACAUAUACCAUAUAUAAAUACCUUCCAGUAUUUUCCUGAAGAGAUGAAACUUUAUGGACCAGACAUUCGUAUCUUUCAAGUGCAGUCCAUUCCAUCCUAUGGUGAGAUCCAAAGAAAAAUGCAUCAACUUGCUGAAUUUCUGGAUAUGCCACGUUUUCCUGAAAUAACUGAAAAAUGUUUCUUGCAUCCAAAUUUACUUUGUAUGAAGUACUUGUUGGAAGCUAACUUGCCAGAGAGCAUGCGUAUUUGGAUACAAAGAUUGGUGAAGAAAAUGGGCAUUGGCAAUGUGGACUAUCUGACCUUUCACCCCUUAUCUAGAGGGACAAAGACCAUCAAUUAUGAAAUUCAGGCUGUAGCAGUGAUUGUGAUAUCUCUGAAACUCCUUUUUGUGCUUGAUGACAAACAUGAAUGGUUGCUGUCUAACAGAGCAAAUGAGAUAAACAAGCAAAAUGAUAAAGGCAUUAAUCACUUUCAGUUUAGAAAAUGGUACAAGGUAAUGAAAAGCUGUUUGGAUGAAAGUGAAAAGGAAGUGGAAGAGCAGGCAGCCAGGUAUCUGUGGAAAUGUGAAAAACCACUCUUCUUUUCUGUAAAAGACCAAGCAGUAGUCUACAAAAGGAAGCGUAUUAUCCACAGUCUUACGAAACAAUUUGUUAGACUUACUUCCCGGCCAGCGAUGGAAAGGAAAGAGCCUUCCAGCUUCAAGUUCAGUUGGAACGAAGACAACCUGGAGAGACCUUGCUUUCAUGGAGACAGUCUCAAAGGAUAUGAUAAUGAAAAAAGUAAACGGAUUAUAAAUGUGAACGACCGCUACUGGCUCUGUUGUCUGAAAAUCUGCAAUGAGAAGUCCUGCAGACACUUAACCAAGUCUGAACUGAAGCAUUUUCCUGGAAGUUAUCUGUUUGUCCUAAAACUUUUUGCUUUCCUACUUGGAGUAGAGUUCUCAGUACUACAUAAUGAAGUUUGUCAAUUGGAACAUAAACUGUUUGAUGUAUCAGAAACACUGAAACCUGGAAAAACUUGCAAGAAAUCUAAAUUAGUUCCAUGAAGUGAAAACAGUGCAUGCUUCAAACAACUCUUUAAUUGAAAAUGGACAGUUUUGAGCUGUUUUACUGGAAGAUAGCAAGAUUGUAUCGAUUUGAAAAUUGACUUAAAAUUGUUUAAUAACCAGGAGUUCUCAUCCGUGAUGCUGACUGCAGUUUACAUACCACCAGCAACCAAUUAUAAGCAAGCACUCAUGAAACUGCACAAUGUUGUCUGUGCACAAGAAACAGCUCAUCCCGACGCGAUUCAAAUUAUAGUUGGUGACUUUAACCAGGCCUGUUCAAAGAAAACCCUGCCCAAUCAUCACCUACACGUAAUCUGUUGCACCAGGGUCCCAACACACUAGAACACUGCAACAUUACGAUAAGGAGUGUCUAUCAUUUCUUCCCGAGACUGCAGUUUGGUAAGUUGGAUCAUUUUGCUGUAUUCCUACUCCUAGUCCCCUGACAAAAUCCUUUAGGGUUUUCCUCAGUCAGAAGCCCUGGAUGAACAAUGAAAUCUGGAAUCUACUAAGAGCAGAUCAGAGGUAUUCAAGUCUGAAAUUAAGAAUGCUACAAGAGGUACAGAUAAGAUCUCCAGAAACACAUCUCUCUGGCAAAGUGGAGAUUCCUGACUAGACUGGAAUCAACCAGCGACGCUCAACAGCUGUGACAGGGUUUGAAUAACAUAACCUCCUACAAAGUUAAAUCUUGCCACAUGGGGAACAGCAGAGCACAGCUUACAGAUGAGCUCAAUGCCUUCAAUACAAGCUUUGAUCACCACAACAGGAAGGAAGCACUUCAAUUUGCUGACCAAAGCAACAGAUCUACAGCAGAUGUUACCUCUUGUCUCUUCACACAACCUUGGAAAAUCUAGACAGCAAAGAUGUAUACGUCUCGAUGCUCUUUAUCAAUUACAGCUCAGCAUUUAACACUACCACCCCCUCAAAACUAAUCAGUGAACUUCAAGACUAGAUCCUGGAUUCCCUCACUUGUAGACCCCGGAAUCUCCUUCACAAUUUCCAUCAACACAGGAGCACCACAGUGAUGUGUACUUAGCGCCCUGCUCUACUCGCAUUACACUUGUGAUGGUGUGGCUAAGUACAGCACUAUCACCAUGUACAAGUUUGCUGAUGACACCGCUGUUGUGGGCUGUAUAAAAGGGGUGAUGAAUUAGCCUACAGGAGGGAGACUGAAAACUUGGCUGAGUGGUGUAAUAACAACAACUCAAUGUCAAUAAGAUGGUAGACUUCAGGAGAGAGAAGCCAGGGGUCCAUGAGCCAGUAAACAUUGAAGAAUCAGGGGUGAAGAAGGUCAGUAACUUUAAAUUCCUGGGUGUCACUACCUCAGACGACCUGCCCUGGACCCAUCAUAUAAUUGUGAUUGCAAAGAAAGUGUUCUGAUGGGCUGCAUUAUGGCCUGAUAUGGAAACACCAAUGCCUUUGAGCAAAAAAUCCUACAAAAUAUGAUGGAUUUGGCCAGUACAUCAUGGGUAAAGCACUCCCAACCAUUGAGCACAUCUACAUGAAAUAUUGCCGUAGACAAGCAGCAUCCAUCAUCAAAGAUCUUGAUGAUCUUUGAUCCACCCAGGCCUUGUUCUUUUCUUGCUGCUGCCAUCAGGUAGAAGGUACAAGUGCCUCAGGUUCAAGAACAGUUACUACCCCAAAACCACCAGGCUCCUGAACAAAGGGGAGUAGCUACACUCAAUUAAGGACUCUUUUAUCUUGUUAUUUGAUGCUCAUUAUUUAUUGCUAUUUAUUUAAUAUCUGUGUUUGCACAGUUUGUUUGCAUUUAACAGUUCCUGAAGUUUACA